UACAGAGGUCUCAAGCGUUGUUCGGAUUCAUUGGGCGUAAAGGGUGCGUAGGCGGCGCGGUAAGUCGGGUGUGAAAUCUCGGAGCUUAACUCCGAAACUGCAUUCGAUACUGCCGUGCUUGAGGACUGGAGAGGAGACUGGAAUUUACGGUGUAGCGGUGAAAUGCGUAGAUAUCGUAAGGAAGACCAGUGGCGAAGGCGGGUCUCUGGGCCUUACCUGACGCUGAGGCGCGAAAGCGUGGGGAGCAAACAGG
rnacentral:rRNA from 1 species